rnacentral:rRNA from 1 species
UACACUCCUACGGGAGGCAGCAGUGGGGAAUAUUGCACAAUGGGCGCAAGCCUGCUGCAGCCAUGCCGCGUGUAUGAAGAAGGCCUUCGGGUUGUAAAGUACUUUCAGCGGGGAGGAAGGCAAUACGGUUAAUAACCGUGUUGAUUGACGUUACCCGCAGAAGAAGCACCGGCUAACUCCGUGCCAGCAGCCGCGGUAAUACGGAGGGUGCAAGCGUUAAUCGGAAUUACUGGGCGUAAAGCGCACGCAGGCGGUCUGUCAAGUCGGAUGUGAAAUCCCCGGGCUCAACCUGGGAACUGCAUUCGAAACUGGCAGGCUUGAGUCUUGUAGAGGGGGGUAGAAUUCCAGGUGUAGCGGUGAAAUGCGUAGAGAUCUGGAGGAAUACCGGUGGCGAAGGCGGCCCCCUGGACAAAGACUGACGCUCAGGUGCGAAAGCGUGGGGAGCAAACAGGAUUAGAUACCCUUGUAGUCCC